AUUGAACGCUGGCGGCAUGCCUUACACAUGCAAGUCGAACGGUAACAGGUCUUCGGAUGCUGACGAGUGGCGAACGGGUGAGUAAUACAUCGGAACGUGCCUAGUAGUGGGGGAUAACUACUCGAAAGAGUGGCUAAUACCGCAUGAGAUCUACGGAUGAAAGCAGGGGAUCGCAAGACCUUGUGCUACUAGAGCGGCCGAUGGCAGAUUAGGUAGUUGGUGGGAUAAAAGCUUACCAAAACGACGAUCUGUAGCUGGUCUGAGAGGACGAUCAGCCGCACUGGGACUGAGACACGGCCCAGAAUCCUACGGGAGGCAGCAGUGGGGAAUUUUGGACAAUGGGCGCAAGCCUGAUCCAGCAAUGCCGCGUGCAGGAUGAAGGCCGUCGGGUUGUAAACUGCUUUUGUACGGAACGAAAAGCCCUGGGUUAAUACCCUGGGGUCAUGACGGUACCGUAAGAAUAAGCACCGGCUAACUACGUGCCAGCCGCCGCGGUAACAC
rnacentral:rRNA from 1 species